rnacentral:rRNA from 1 species
UAAUACGGAGGGUGCAAGCGUUAUCCGGAUUUACUGGGUUUAAAGGGUGCGUAGGCGGGCUUUUAAGUCAGCGGUGAAAGCUUCGAGCUUAACUCGGAAAUUGCCGUUGAUACUAUUAGUCUUGAAUUAAGUUGAGGUGGGCGGAAUAUGUCAUGUAGCGGUGAAAUGCUUAGAUAUGACAUAGAACACCGAUUGCGAAGGCAGCUCGCUAAACUUAUAUUGACGCUGAGGCACGAAAGCGUGGGGAUCAAACAGGAUUAGAAACCCUGGUAGUCCACGCCCUAAACGAUGAUUACUCGAUCUUAGCGAUACACAGUUAGGGUCUAUGCAAAAGCAUUAAGUAAUCCACCUGGGGAGUACGACCGCAAGGUUG